rnacentral:tRNA from 1 species
GUUAUAAUAAUUUAAAAAAAAUAAUGAUUUUGUAAAUCAUAAUUGAUAAUUAUAUCUUAUAACA